CGGCUGUGGACCCCACUCCGAGGCUUCUGUGUUACAGCUUCAUUGAUGAUCCUGGCAUAUCCAGAGAUACAUGAAGACUGAUCUAAGUCCUUCCUGCUAAGUAAAGAGCCUCCAGGUAGCAGCUUGGCGUUCAAGACACACUAAACUGUGGAACAUCCAUGGAAUGUGAAAAACAGCAGAAGGUCGCUUUCACAACUCCUGUCCUCACCUCAAGCAGGACUCAGACCUAGGAAGGCUUCUCUGACCUCCCUCUGAAGCAGUUGAACGAACCCUGGAGAAAGGCACGCAACCUUGGACCAAAAGAAACGCCUCGUGUCGGAACACAAAGGGGCACGCUGCCAGGAGCUGAGUAAACCUUUCAUAAUGUGCUCCAGGCUCAAAAGCA
rnacentral:lncRNA from 1 species